GGAAGUAAAAGUCGUAACAAAGUUUCCGUAGGUGAACCUGCGGAAGGAUCAUUACAGAGUUCAUGCCCUCACGGGUAGAUCUCCCACCCUUGAAUAUUUAUACCUUAGUUGCUUUGGCAGGCCGUGGAAACACCAUGGGCUCCGGCUUAUGCGUGCCUGCCAGAGGAAACAAACUCUGUUUUUAGUGAUGUCUGAGUACUAUAUAAUAGUAAAAACUUUCAACAACGGAUCUCUUGGUUCUG
rnacentral:misc_RNA from 1 species